rfam:Mycobacterium rhodesiae JS60 ctg136, whole genome shotgun sequence.
AACGCCGCGCAAGAGGGCCGACGGUCGACUCCGGCGGCGCAAGGGACGGUCAGCUCCCGUCCCGGGAAGCUGCGA